AGAGUUUGAUCCUGGCUCAGAUUGAACGCUGGCGGCAUGCCUUACACAUGCAAGUCGAACGGCAGCACGGGCUUCGGUCUGGUGGCGAGUGGCGAGCGGGUGAGUAAUGUAUCGGAACGUACCUUUCAGUGGGGGAUAACGUAGCGAAAGUUACGCUAAUACCGCAUAUUCUGUGAGCAGGAAAGCAGGGGAUCGCAAGACCUUGCGCUGAUUGAGCGGCCGAUAUCAGAUUAGCUAGUUGGUGGGGUAAAGGCCUACCAAGGCUACGAUCUGUAGCGGGUCUGAGAGGAUGAUCCGCCACACUGGAACUGAGACACGGUCCAGACUCCUACGGGAGGCAGCAGUGGGGAAUUUUGGACAAUGGGGGCAACCCUGAUCCAGCCAUGCCGCGUGAGUGAAGAAGGCCUUCGGGUUGUAAAGCUCUUUCGGCCGGGAAGAAAUCGCAUAGGUUAAUACCCUGUGUGGAUGACGGUACCGGAAUAAGAAGCACCGGCUAACUACGUGCCAGCAGCCGCGGUAAUACGUAGGGUGCGAGCGUUAAUCGGAAUUACUGGGCGUAAAGCGUGCGCAGGCGGUUUCGUAAGACAGAGGUGAAAUCCCCGGGCUCAACCUGGGAACUGCCUUUGUGACUGCGAAGCUAGAGUACGGCAGAGGGGGGUGGAAUUCCACGUGUAGCAGUGAAAUGCGUAGAGAUGUGGAGGAACACCGAUGGCGAAGGCAGCCCCCUGGGCCGAUACUGACGCUCAUGCACGAAAGCGUGGGUAGCAAACAGGAUUAGAUACCCUGGUAGUCC
rnacentral:rRNA from 1 species